UACGUAGGGGACGAGCGUUGUCCGGAAUUACUGGGCGUAAAGGGCGCGCAGGCUGUAGAUCAAGUCAGCUGUGAAAUGUUUGGGCUUAACCCGGGCAUGCGGUUGAAACUGAUGUACUGGAGUGCUGUAGAGGCAAGUGGAAUUCCCAGUGUAGCGGUGAAAUGCGUAGAUAUUGGGAAGAACACCGGUGGCGAAGGCGACUUGCUGGGCAGCAACUGACGCUGAGGCGCGAAAGCCAGGGGAGCAAACGGGGAUUAGAUA
rnacentral:rRNA from 1 species